rnacentral:lncRNA from 1 species
AAUUCCAGGAACGGGUAGUCUUUGACACGGUGAUUAUCCUCUUGAGGCUGAAUUCAUUAUUCACUUGUUAUUUAGGUUUUCCUCCCAGUAGUGAGGGCUUUUGAGUCAGUUGCACUUACAUGAUUAUUGUUAUUUAAAACUAAAAAUAAACAAAGGCUGCAUUUUCAAAGAUAAAGUUGAGAUCCCUGUUGGAGAAAUACAGCCCAAAUACUGAGUCUGAUGUACAUACAGGUUUCUGCAGGAUGAAAUAGAGUACUUUAGAAUUUGGGGAUUUGAUAAGCAGGGCAGCCCAGGAAGAGUGACUUGGGAAUGUAAUACACCAGUAAGUAAGGGGUGCUCUCGCAGUUUGCUUUUGCCACUUUCAAGAUCUUAACUUCUCAGGUUAUUAAUCAAAAUUAUUGUAUAAGGUAGUCAAUAGAAUCUAGGUUAAAACAACAGAUGGGGGGUUUGUGGAGUGUUUAAUUGUCAUGGGCAUUUUUAGUAGCAUAGGCCCUUUGCUCUGCAUUUGAAUGUUUCAUAUAUUUUUGUUCCACAAUUAAUCUUCCCUCCCCAGGUUUGUUAUUCAACUCUAAUGCCUGAAUGACAUUUUCUAGUAGUUUGACCUAUUUUUUGAGGAAUAGUUUGUGAUUCCAAUGCAGGUGUCUUCAUUACUGUUACCUCUAUAUUGGGGGAAUAGACAAAAAAAAAAAAAAAAACAACAACAACCCUUUGUUAGAAUUACUGCACAUGUUUCUGGAGAAAAUGUUUUUUGAAGACUAGAAUGAUACAAGUGAGCAAAAGAAGUUGGUCAGCUUGACUAUGGAGUGGUGGCAAUAAUCUCUAAACAUUCCAAAAGACUAUGAGCUGGACUUAAGCUCCCUUGGAAUCUGAACAGAUAUAGGAACGUGGAAUUGCCAUUUGACAACUGUGACCAGGUAGUCUGGACCUUAGAGUCAGAUCAGCCAGUGGCCUAAAGCCAUUUCAAGUACAGAAGCUGUUUGGGGACUACAUUUAUAUAAAUUUGAACAUUAAGUAUAAUUUUUCCUCUUUUUCUUUUUAAUAUUUGUAAACUCAGAGCUAAAAAGUGAUUUUACUUUCUAAAGUUUGAUAUUAAGUUGACUGUGUUCCUUCCCUUACCGCCUCAUUGUUCCCCUUCCCUUUCCUAAAGCAAUAGUGCACACCUUAGGUUAUUUUUGCUUUAAAAAUUUGAACGAAAAACUUCAUGCCAUGGAUUUUUUUCUUUUGCAAGACACCUGUUUAUCACUUUGUUCAAAUGUAAAUGUUCCCCUAUGCUUUUGAAAUAAAUUUCCUUUUGUAAUUUU